UAAAAGAAGCACAAGAUUUAUUAGAGAUAACAAGUUAAAAAUCAAACCAAUAGCUUAACAAAACAAAGGAGAAAGCAAAUUGUCUCCGCCUUGUGUGAUAAAGGGUUCAUUUUUGUCUCACGGGAAGUUUCUUCUUCUGUCUUUUCAUUUUAUCUUCAAUUUCCAAUUUUUUGAUCAGUUAACUUAAGUCAUCUCACCUAACCUUUCAGUUUCACUUUCAGUUAUUUUGUGCAGUGUCUAUAGUCUAAAUAAAUUAGGCCUGAUCUCCAUAUUCAAAGUUACUAUCUGCUUUACUUCAUGUGUAAUUGGUAUCGACAUUAACGCGUACUGGUAUUUAUUCCUGCCAACAUUAUAAAAUCCUAAUUUAAGAUUUGAUAGUGAAUUUUGAUCAAGGUGUUAUGAAUCAAAUAUGCCAAUGUCUUCUAUCAUCUGUUUAUUAUUUUCAAUGAAAGAACAUUUGGUUUGAAUAAAUCUGAUAAAAUCGACAGAAGAAUUGAUGAAAAGAAAGAAUCAACAAUUCAGAGGAUUUUAUUCAACUCAAUGAUGAUAAAACUUAUUGCUACUUUAAGGAAAAUACAAAGAAUACCUCCCAUGAGAUCAUGAAAAUGAACGGAACAAAAAGCCUUGAAGAGGAUAUGCUUCAUAAGGAUAUGGCAAGGUUUGAAAA